GUGGGGAAUCUUAGACAAUGGGGGAAACCCUGAUCUAGCCAUGCCGCGUGAGCGAUGAAGGCCUUAGGGUUGUAAAGCUCUUUCAGCUGGGAAGAUAAUGACGGUACCAGCAGAAGAAGCCCCGGCUAACUCCGUGCCAGCAGCCGCGGUAAUACGGAGGGGGCUAGCGUUGUUCGGAAUUACUGGGCGUAAAGCGCACGUAGGCGGAUUGGAAAGUUGGGGGUGAAAUCCCGGGGCUCAACCCCGGAACUGCCUUCAAAACUCCCAGUCUUGAGGUCGAGAGAGGUGAGUGGAAUUCCGAGUGUAGAGGUGAAAUUCGUAGAUAUUCGGAGGAACACCAGUGGCGAAGGCGGCUCACUGGCUCGAUACUGACGCUGAGGUGCGAAAGCGUGGGGAGCAAACAGGAUUAGAAACCCGGGUAGUCC
rnacentral:rRNA from 1 species